UACAGGGGGGUGCAAACGUUGCUCGGAAUCAUUGGGCGUAAAGCGCACGUAGGCGGUUCGUUAUGUCGGAUGUGAAAGCCCUUGGCUUAACCGAGGAAGUGCAUCCGAAACUGGCGAGCUAGAGUACUAAAGAGGAUCGCGGAAUUCCCGGUGUAGAGGUGAAAUUCGUAGAUAUCGGGAGGAACACCGGUGGCGAAGGCGGCGAUCUGGGUAGAUACUGACGCUGAGGUGCGAAAGCGUGGGGGAGCAAACAGG
rnacentral:rRNA from 1 species